UACAGAGGUCCCAAGCGUUGUCCGGAUUUACUGGGCGUAAAGGAUGCGUAGGCGGACAUUUAAGUCAGAUGUGAAAUACCCGAGCUUAACUUGGGUGCUGCAUUUGAAACUGGGUGUCUAGAGUGCAGGAGAGGUAAGUGGAAUUCCUAGUGUAGCGGUGAAAUGCGUAGAGAUUAGGAAGAACACCAGUGGCGAAGGCGACUUACUGGACUGUAACUGACGCUGAGGCAUGAAAGCGUGGGGAGCAAACAGG
rnacentral:rRNA from 1 species